rnacentral:misc_RNA from 1 species
AUCUUUUUAAUUACUUAAUUUCAAGUAAAAAAUAUGUCAAUUUUUCUACAUGCGCAAAAAAAAAUCGCGCAGAAAUUGAUAAUGAUCCUUCCGCAGGUUCACCUACGGAAA